GGGCACUGUUUGACCCCGAGCAGCCUGUUCCGUGGCCGUUCACUGGUCAAGAGUGGUGCUAGAUCACGUGGCCUUGUUAUAACUGGGGUUUCUUGGCUUUUCCCACCAAGUCUCUCUUUUAAGGCAAGGCACAGAA
rnacentral:snoRNA from 1 species